rnacentral:lncRNA from 1 species
GUGGGGUGGGACAGGCAUGUGCUGGUCGUACUGGUCAGGACAGAAGAGGACAGGUUACGCCUUCACGUGCCCUGCGCCCAUCACCUGCCAAGCAAAGUGAAGACCCAGGACUGGAGAGCCCACUUGCAUUUUGAAGGAGGACAUGGCGGGCAGGCUGAGGCAGGUUCGUCCUCAGUAGCCGGGAGAGGGAGAGAGACUGGGAAGGCUUCCUGUUUCCCGUUUCUUCCAGAGCCUGGCCUGCGUGCACUGUGGGGACAAGAGCACGAGCAUCCAGGUUCUCUGAGUCACAGGAUGGCGGCCAUGGUUCUGUCUCCCACCUGCGCUCAGCCUUCCCUGUACUCGGCCUCCCCUCAGAGAGGAUGCGCGGAGGGGGAAGGGUUGGCUCAUGGCUUCCUGACAGGCUGGUUACCGGUGAGUCACAUACUCUUUUUUCCAAAUGAUUAUUCUUUUGACUGGAAGUUGGACUUACCUUUCUCAGCCUGGAGCCCCACCACCAAACCAGGUUCUCAGGCAUUCCAAGAUCUUUGGCAUCUGAUGGUGGAUAAAGGGCUGCCCAGAAAAUGUUAGUGUUUGUCAACAUUUUCUGCAUUUUCAUAGCUUCCCCCAGGGUCACUUUAUAUAUUAGAUUAUGCUGAGAGUUUUAAAAGAAAAGACAUGACUGCAUCACAUAGUCAAGCAAUUGAUGAAGGCCACUGGGGAGUAUUUCUCUGACAUCUACCAUGACCCAAUCUUAUGCUCAACCCUGAGAUUGAGGGAAUAAGACUGCAGUUUCACAGUCUCACUGGAAUAAUAGAAUCACCUACGUGUUAGAGGUACGUUUAGCCUUAGGAGUGGGAGUAGGUUGACAGGAGAGGAGCACUGCAGGCUGAGCUCAGAACCGCACCCAUGCAUCCUGUGCUUUGGGUUCCCUGUUUCAAUCCUGUCAUCCUCCUGUUAACUUGGUGGGGGUGGUCCUUGGCUAAGCCAUGAUGUUUGUGACCGCUCAGGACUCGGUGACCUUCGAGGAUGUGGCGGUGGAGUUCAGCCAGGAGGAGUGGGCCCUGCUGGACCCUUCUCAGAGAACACUGUACAGAGAUGUGAUGCGGGAAAACUGCAGGAACCUGGCAGUAAGGGUUUGGGGAUUCCCAUUUCUUCCAGAAUCCCCAAACCUCCCAUCUCUAGGUAAGCCUGACCUCAGCCCUGCAUUUAUUUCAUGACCCAAGUAAUAACUCUUUUUUAAAAAUUCAUGUAACACUUGGGGAUCCCUGGGUGGCUCAGCGGUUUGAUGACUGCCUUUGGCCCAGGGCGGGAUCCUGGAGUCCCAGGAUCGGGUCCCGCCUCGGGCUCCAGGCAUGCAGCCUGCUUCUCCUUCUGCCUGUGUCUCUGCCUCUCUCUCUCUCUCUCUCUCUCUGUCUGUCAUGAAUAAAUAAUAAAUAAAUCUUUAAAAAAAUUCAUGUAACACGGAACAGAAAAUAUUUUUAACGACAAUUCAGUGAUUUUUAGUAAUGCCACAGUGUUAUGCAACGAUCUUUAAUUCUAGAACAUUUUGCACCAAAAAUAAACCCUGUAAUCAUUAAGUGGCCGCACCCUUUCCCACCCACUCCGGCCAUUGGCUACCAUGGAUCUACUCUGUCCUGUGAUUUUACCUAUUCUGGACAUUGCAUAUAAAUGGAAUCAUACAAUAUAUAAUCUUUUGUAUCUGGCUUCUUUUGUCGAAUAAUGUUUUCAAGGUUCAGCCAUGCUGUAGCAUGUAACAGAACUUUACUCCUUUUUCUGGCUGAACAUUAUUCUAUUGUGUAUAAAAACCACUUUUUGAGUACCCCCUCAUCAGUCGAUGGACAUUUGAGUUGUUUCCACCCUUUGGCUACUGUGAAAAGUACUGUGCUAUGAACAUUCACGUUUUUGCCAGAACAUUUGCUUUCUUUUUUUUUCUUUACAUAUAGCUAGAAAUGGAAUUUCUGGGUCAUAUGGUCAUUCAGUGUUUAGCUUUUUGAGGAACCUCCAAACUUUUUCUUUUCUUUCUUUUUUUAGAUUUAUUUAUUUAUUUUAGAGAAGGAGGAGGGGCAGAGGAAGAGAAUCCUCAAGCAGACUCCCUGCUGAGUGUGGAGCCCCAUCUUGGGUCUCAAUCCCACAAUGCAUGAGAUCAUGACCUGAGCCAAAAUCAAGAGUCUGAUGUUCAACUGACCGUACCACCCAGGCAACCCCCAGCUGAGACCUCUGUUUUAACAUUUUCAAACUUUUCCCCAUGGUACCUAUGCACCAUUUAUGUUCCCAUAAGCAAUGUGGGAACACUUGGUUAUUUGCAUUUCCCCAAAGAAGAUGGAUGGAUGGAUAGGUAGGUGGGCAAACAGAUGGACAGACUGAUGGACAGAUGAAUGUGUGAAAGAAUGGGUAAAUGGGUGAUGAGUGGACAGGUUAGAUGGAUGGAUGGAUAGAUGGGGUGAGACUGUGACCGGAACACCCACCCAGCCAACACACAGAACUGUGAGAAAGAAAUGUUUGCUGUUUUAAGCCACAAAGUUUUGAGGACAUUUGUUACACAGCAACAACUAACAUGUGAAGUCAUGUGACUCAUUCAAAGCACAGGGAGCUGAAGGCAGGGAGUCUAUCUCCUUACCCACUGCACUCUGUGUAUAGUUUGUGCAAGGCUGUUCAAAAUAUUCUUUCAAUCUGUGGUCCCCCACUGACCACCCACCCUGGGGUCAGGUUCAUGUUGCCAGGAUGACAUUAAAAGUAUUCAAUAUGUAAGUCUUCAGCAUGGUGGAAUGGAGUAAGAUCCUGGAGAUUCCCUUGUACUCUGCAGUGAACCCCUUAGUGCUUGCAUCAUGGGUAGUGGUUACUUACCAAAUGGUAUGUAAAUAGUUCAAUAUUUAAGCCACCAGUUCAACUGUACAGGUAUGUACCAGAUCAUCAGCCCUGAUUAUAAAAUAUUUAACCUCCUGCUUCAUUGUUCUGUAGAACCCAUAGUUUUGUUCCUUCUUAAAACAUACCCAUAACUUCUAGAUUUCCCUUAACACAGCCCAACCCAUAGCCACAACCCCACACAGUUCACAGAUCCUUGCUUGAACAUCACGCAAAAACAAGGCUAUUCUCAGAUAAUUUAUUCAGAAUUUUCAUAUAAACAGGUAAUUAUCCCAUAUUUUACAUGCAGAGCAAUUUCAAUAUUUCCAAAAAAAAAGGCAUAUUCUGUACAUGGUGCUACUUGGCUCUUGUAGGAAAACAUUGAAAAAAUAUUUGAGCUUUUGGUGGGUUUUGUGUUUCUGAGCUGUUUUCCACAUAAGCCGAGGCACAUUUGAUCCUGUGCAGCUGACAGCAGAUGGGAAGUGUCUGCUGCUGACAUGCAGGGCCAAGACCCCCCAGGCACACAAAGUAGAAAGACUAAACAAGCAAGCCAUUCCUGAAUGUGUGCAUAGAUGCACACUUAUCUUGGAAGUUGUUCCUUCCUUCUCAAAGGGAACCAAGAGCCUCAGAUUCAUGAUCUGGUUUUUAAGAAGGACUUUUAGGGCCUAUAUCCAAAUAAGUAUUUGGCUGGAGAUUGGUUCUGGACCCUAACUGGUAUGAGUUGACAGUGAGCUCAAAAAGUCAAUGUUUCCCUCUGCUUCUGGGGGACCCCUAAGGAAACAUUCACUUUUAGCUAUAGCCCCUGAAAGUCCAUCACAUUCUUUCAAACACAGGAACAAAUCAGCAUUUGUUCUUUCCAUUUCAACUUCACCUCUGGUGUAAAGCAAUAGUCUAAAGAACAUUCUGGAAGGCUCUCUGAAGGGACACCAUUCUACAUGUACCGUUUAUAUACAAUCAGCAUUUCCCUGUUCCCUAUCCCCAACAAAAUCAUAAUUCUGAAGAGCCUGAGGUGUCAGGGACUCGCCAAGUGGUAUCCAAAAGACAUUUAACACCAAACUUUCACUCACCGUGAAGUAGAAAAGCGAUUGUACCUGGGACUACAGCACAUCCAUCACCUACCCAGAUGACUAGCAUGGACCAUGCUCUGAAGGCAGUGCUGCCCACUGAC